rnacentral:rRNA from 1 species
UGAGGAAUAUUGGUCAAUGGACGAGAGUCUGAACCAGCCAAGUAGCGUGCAGGAAGACGGCCCUAUGGGUUGUAAACUGCUUUUAUAAGGGAAUAAAGUUAGUCUCGUGAGACUUUUUGCAUGUACCUUAUGAAUAAGGACCGGCUAAUUCCGUGCCAGCAGCCGCGGUAAUACGGAAGGUCCGGGCGUUAUCCGGAUUUAUUGGGUUUAAAGGGAGCGUAGGCCGGAGAUUAAGCGUGUUGUGAAAUGUAGACGCUCAACGUCUGCACUGCAGCGCGAACUGGUUUCCUUGAGUACGCACAAAGUGGGCGGAAUUCGUGGUGUAGCGGUGAAAUGCUUAGAUAUCACGAAGAACUCCGAUUGCGAAGGCAGCUCACUGGAGCGCAACUGACGCUGAAGCUCGAAAGUGCGGGUAUCGAACAGGAUUAGAUACCCUGGUAGUCCGCACGGUAAACGAUGGAUGCCCGCUGUUGGUCUGAAUAGGUCAGCGGCCAAGCGAAAGCAUUAAGCAUCCCACCUGGGGAGUACGCCGGCAACGGUGAAACUCAAAGGAAUUGACGGGGGCCCGCACAAGCGGAGGAACAUGUGGUUUAAUUCGAUGAUACGCGAGGAACCUUACCCGGGCUUGAAUUGCAGAGGAAGGAUUUGGAGACAAUGACGCCCUUCGGGGCCUCUGUGAAGGUGCUGCAUGGUUGUCGUCAGCUCGUGCCGUGAGGUGUCGGCUUAAGUGCCAUAACGAGCGCAACCCCUCUCCUUAGUUGCCAUCAGGUUAAGCUGGGCACUCUGGGGACACUGCCACCGUAAGGUGUGAGGAAGGUGGGGAUGACGUCAAAUCAGCACGGCCCUUACGUCCGGGGCUACACACGUGUUACAAUGGCAGGUACAGAGAGACGGUCCCUUGCAAAAUGGAUCAAAUCCUUAAAGCCUGUCUCAGUUCGGACUGGGGUCUGCAACCCGACCCCACGAAGCUGGAUUCGCUAGUAAUCGCGCAUCAGCCAUGGCGCGGUGAAUACGUUCCC